rnacentral:lncRNA from 1 species
GGUGAUGUGAUCAUCCAUAACGUAGAACGGAAGGAAGGGUCGAGGCAAGGGAAUCUUCUGAGCUCGAAGCAGCAUGUUCUCAAUCACAUCCCUAAAUUGGCUUAGGUGGAGCACACUCAACUUGUUGAUGCAACCCAUGCGCAUGAACAAACUUUUGUAGGACCUUUACCAAAAAGAAACAAAUUUUUGUAGGAGAAGAACCAAAAUGAGCUUCAACGGACUUGGG